UACGUAGGGUGCGAGCGUUGUCCGGAAUUAUUGGGCGUAAAGGGCUCGUAGGCGGUUUGUCGCGUCGGGUGUGAAAUCCAUUGGCUUAACUGGUGGCUUGCUUUCGAUACGGGCAGACUGGAGGUAUGCAGGGGAGAACGGAAUUCCUGGUGUAGCGGUGAAAUGCGUAGAUAUCUGGAGGAACACCGGUGGCGAAGGCGGCAUUCUGGACCAAUAUUGACGCUGAGAAGCGAAAGCCAGGGGAGCAAACGGG
rnacentral:rRNA from 1 species